ACGAACGCUGGCGGCGUGCCUAAUACAUGCAAGUCGAACGAGCUCUCCUAAAUUGAUUUUAUGCUUGCAUAAAUGAUUUUUAGAUUCGGAGCGAGUGGCGAACUGGUGAGUAACACGUGGGUAACCUGCCCCGAAGCGGGGGAUAACAUUUGGAAACAAAUGCUAAUACCGCAUAAUUAGUUGGAACCGCAUGGUUCCAACUUGAAAGAUGGCUCUGCUAUCACUUUGGGAUGGACCCGCGCCGUAUUAGUUAGUUGGUGAGAUAAAAGCCCACCAAGACGAUGAUACGUAGCCGACCUGAGAGGGUAAUCGGCCACAUUGGGACUGAGACACGGCCCAGACUCCUACGGGAGGCAGCAGUAGGGAAUCUUCCACAAUGGACGAAAGUCUGAUGGAGCAACGCCGCGUGAGUGAUGAAGGUUUUCGGAUCGUAAAACUCUGUUGUUAAAGAAGAACAAGUGUUAGAGUAACUGUUAACACUUUGACGGUAUUUAACCAGAAAGCCACGGCUAACUACGUGCCAGCAGCCGCGGUAAUACGUAGGUGGCAAGCGUUGUCCGGAUUUAUUGGGCGUAAAGCGAGCGCAGGCGGUUUUGUAAGUCUGCUGUGAAAGCCCUCAGCUCAACUGAGAAGUGCAGUGGAAACUACAAAACUUGAGUACAGAAGAGGAAAGUGGAACUCCAUGUGUAGCGGUGAAAUGCGUAGAUAUAUGGAAGAACACCAGUGGCGAAGGCGGCUUUCUGGUCUGUUACUGACGCUGAGGCUCGAAAGCAUGGGUAGCGAACAGGAUUAGAUACCCUGGUAGUCCAUGCCGUAAACGAUGAAUACUAGGUGUUGGAGGGUUUCCGCCCUUCAGUGCCGCAGCUAACGCAUUAAGUAUUCCGCCUGGGGAGUACGACCGCAAGGUUGAAACUCAAAGGAAUUGACGGGGGCCCGCACAAGUGGUGGAGCAUGUGGUUUAAUUCGAUGCUACGCGAAGAACCUUACCAGCUCUUGACAUCUUCUGCCAACCCAAGAGAUUGGGCGUUCCCUUCGGGGACAGAAUGACAGGUGGUGCAUGGUUGUCGUCAGCUCGUGUCGUGAGAUGUUGGGUUAAGUCCCGCAACGAGCGCAACCCUUAUUAUUAGUUGCCAGCAUUUAGUUGGGCACUCUAGUGAGACUGCCGGUGAUAAACCGGAGGAAGGUGGGGACGACGUCAAAUCAUCAUGCCCCUUAUGAGCUGGGCUACACACGUGCUACAAUGGAUGGUACAACGAGUCGCGAAACCGCGAGGUCAAGCUAAUCUCUUAAAGCCAUUCUCAGUUCGGAUUGCAGGCUGCAACUCGCCUGCAUGAAGUUGGAAUCACUAGUAAUCGUGGAUCAGCAUGCCACGGUGAAUACGUUCCCGGGCCUUGUACACACCG
rnacentral:rRNA from 1 species